UUCUCUAGGCCUCGGCAGCAGGACCUGGAGCCUGGCAUGUUUAGGAGGCGGCCCAGGAGGGCAGGCUGACGGGAGAGCUUGGGCUCCCCUCCCCCAUACGGACAACUAACAAUGACAGUUUACGAAAACAAUGACCCACAAACCAAGAAGAGUCUCCGGCCGCCUCCAGGACCUUCCACGGCGGGAGAAGGGUACACCCCCGGCUGGGUGCAGAGUGUUGGGGGGGCGGCAGGAAAGACCAGCCCCUGCCUGCACACUCGGGCUACCCAGAAGGCGGCUGAACACCACGAAGGCCACGAAGCCCUCGCGGCCGUCCCGGUGGGGACGCAGGCUGGUUCCCGUAGGACACAGGACUUGGGACUUGCUCUAGUUAACCAUGCAGAUGAAAAGAACUUGCAAGGCCACCCUGCCAACUGCCAGGAAAGGGAAGGAAAUCACAUGAGGGUGCAAAAGCCGAGAGGGAACAGGGGCCCAGGAUCAAAGGCAGCUGCCACGAUGCCAAUAGCCCCAGGCUGGAGGAAAGUGCAUGAGCAUAUGAAUCAGAUGGAAGAAUAGACAGUCAAGGAACAACAUCAGGGCUUGCAAAGCAAGCUCGAGACCAGAAGACCGACCGACAUGGAGAACCUGAACAGGACCCCUGCACAUCUAGAAACCGAGUCAUGACGUAGCACGCACAUCUGAAAAGCAAACUAACAGCAUGGAGAAAAAGUCAAGAUCAUCACAGUGAAGUCAGAGAAAAAGGACAAACCCCAACAAUUAGAGAUUGGAGCCCAGACCUUCCAGCAUAGAGGGAUCGGGGUCCUUGAAGUGGAUUAUCCAACAGCAACGCGGAAGAAUGUUUAGACAUUGAGGGGACACAAGAGGGAUGCGGUAUGAUCAGCAUCAGGAACAUGCUGACUCGGGCCGAGUUAAUGGACUCUAAGGAUAAAGGAAACAACUGUUCAGGUGCCCAGAAGGAAAAGCCAAGUCACGAACAAGGGGAGAAAAAAGUCAAGCUGGCCUCACAUUUUUCCACAGCAACAUUCAAUAUGAGAAGACCGGGGAACUUAGUCUUCAAAGGGCUCUUGAGGACUCUGCUGAACGGACACUCAGGAUCACCAACCCCCUGCUGUGGCACAUGCAGGUUAUUUCCAGCCUUCUGCAAAGCCGAGCAGUGCUGUGAGGACAUCCCUUUGCACGGCGAUGUGUGGAGAAUAGAUCUUCCCAGGGCUCUGCGAGGUCCCACAGCUGAGGCCAGAUGAGGAAGAUAAGGCCAACGAGGACAGCACGCUCGGGAGGUGAACUCACAGGCCCACAAGGCCCUGCAGCUGGCAGGGGGCCAAGGUUCUCCGACCAGGCAUGAAGCCCGAAGAACGAGCCAGCCAAGGGCUUGGCAUGAAGUAGGUGCUUAGUAAAGACUGGUUUCUUCUAUUCCUUCCUCCUUCCCUUCCAACAGCCAUCUGGGCCCCCAGUCAGGAGGUCACCUCUGGCCAGGGCUGUGGUAGGACAGACAGAGCCCCAGGCCGGGCCUGGCCUUCUCCCCCACCAGCUGAGGUGCCCCCUUCCAUUUCUUCUUCUCCUCCUCUUUGCCACGCCCCCCGCCUCUGCGUGCCCACUCAGUUAUCUGGUGACUCGAGGACCCCGGGAGUCCCUCUGUUCUCCUCAGCCACCCUGGUGACAAAACAAAGGAGGAGCUCAAAAUCGGCCUUGAUUCAGUGCAUGAAGCCCGUGGCCUGGGCUUGAGUGGCCCUGCCAGGCCACCUGGGGCCGUCCACGGGCGCCACACAGACCCACACAGGGCCCCACGCCAGGCCCGGCCAAAACUGUCGCCCCAGCUGACGGCUUGCUCAGAGAAAUGACUCAGCCCGAGUGCUCAGAUGCCCUGUCCACGUUUUAUGAACUAAAGGUGUUUUCAUAACAACUGGGGGUGAUGAGCCAGCAGCAGGCUGUAAACAGAGCAAUGAUCUGGUUGAAACGCCCAGGUCCGAGCCCCCGCCCACAAGCAGGGCCUCCGAGGUUGUCAGCUUCUCCACAGCGGUGCUUCCUUCACGCCCAGGUGGGGCCACGGGCCACUGGGCUCGUCCUGGCAAACAGCACAGACUCCCAAAAUAACGUGGAGACGCGCCCAGCCGCAUCUGUAACCCAGGAGGGAAGCGAGUGACAGAGCCAGACCCGUGGCCUAGACGCCUGCUUCUGUCCUUCCCGGAUGCCCCGGGGCCUCCUGUGGGACCGGAAGCCGUCCAUGAGCCA